GGUGGCGUUCUACAUAUAAAUAUUACUCAAUGGACUACUAAGGAGACUUUACAAUUUAAUAACAAAUCUCAAUUCAUGAUAGAAAAGCGUGUUUAAUUUGGACCUCAAUGGAAAUGGGCUGGACUCUGGCCUAAUGGGUGUUCCUGAAGUUCGUGAUGUAGACAAAGAAGCCACAAUUAUCAGGAAAGAAUGUCCGGACUGAAAGGGCAACAGAACUUAACAAUUAUUUAUAGAUAACCACAAAUUGUGUCACUCAUCAAACUCCUGAAUAUGAAAUUAAAAUAUUGUUUGUGAAUUUUAUUUUUUAAAUGUUUUCCUCUGUAAAAAUCUCAAAAAUAAUGUUAGUUUAAUUCUUGUAGGCUGUAUGUUUAUUUAUAUUGUAUUAUUACUGCUAAUGUUUAUCUUAUUAAUGAAAUAACCUAUUUGUUGUAAAGAAUAUAGACAUGAAAGAUAAUAAAAAUAUAUAACAUUUUGAGGAUUAAAAUCAGGUAUGUUGAUUUUUGCCGGAUGUACGUGAUAUAGACCUACAGAUAUAAAUAUAAAAUGUAUAGGCCUACAUAUAUCCCAACUUGAUUUCAAUGCUUGAAAAUAAAUAUCGAAUGGAAUUGUG